rnacentral:rRNA from 1 species
GAUCCUGGCUCAGAAUCAACGCUGGCGGCGUGCCUCAGACAUGCAAGUCGAACGAUUAAGACUCCCUUCGGGGAGUGUAUAAAGUGGCGCACGGGUGAGUAACACGUAAGUAAUCUACCUUCGAGUGGGGAAUAACAUCGGGAAACCGAUGCUAAUACCGCAUAACGCAGCGGCAUCGCAAGAUGACAGUUGUUAAAGGAGCAAUCCGCUUGAAGAGGAGCUUGCGGCAGAUUAGCUUGUUGGUAAGGUAACGGCUUACCAAGGCUACGAUCUGUAUCCGGCCUGAGAGGGCGGUCGGACACACUGACACUGAAUAACGGGUCAGACUCCUACGGGAGGCAGCAGUCGGGAAUUUUGGGCAAUGGGCGAAAGCCUGACCCAGCAACGCCGCGUGAGGGAUGAAGUAUUUCGGUAUGUAAACCUCGAAAGAAUAGGAAGAAUAAAUGACGGUACUAUUUAUAAGCUCCGGCUAACUACGUGCCAGCAGCCGCGGUAAUACGUAGGGAGCAAGCGUUGUUCGGAUUUACUGGGCGUAAAGGGCGCGUAGGCGGCAUAUUAAGUCAGCUGUGAAAUCUCCGAGCUUAACUCGGAACUGUCAGCUGAUACUGAUGUGCUAGAGUGCAGAAGGGGCAAUCGGAAUUCUUGGUGUAGCGGUGAAAUGCGUAGAUAUCAAGAGGAACACCUGAGGUG